CCUACGAGAGGCUGCAGUGAGGAAUAUUUGUCAAUGGGCUUACGCCUGAACCAGCCAAGUCGCGUGAGGGAAGGCUGCCCUAUGGGUUGUAAACCUCUUUUGUCAGGGAGCAACGCCUGCUACGUGUAGCCGGACUGAGAGUACCUGAAGAAAAAGCAUCGGCUAACUCCGUGCCAGCAGCCGCGUGAAUACGGAGGAUGCGAGCGUUAUCCGGAUUGAGUGGGUUUAAAGGGUGCGUAGGCGGAAUGCCAAGUCAGCGGUAAAAUCGCGGGGCUCAACCGCGCUCCGCAGUUGAAACUGGCGUUCUUGAGUGGGCGAGAAGUAUGCGGAAUGCGUGGUGUAGCGGUGAAAUGCAUAGAUAUCACGCAGAACUCUGAUUGCGAAGGCAGCAUCCCGG
rnacentral:rRNA from 1 species